AGUAACGGCGAGUGAAGCGGCAUAAGCUCAAAUUUGAAAUCUGGCUCCUUCGGGGCCCGAGUUGUAAUUUGCAGAGGAUGCUUCGGGGGUGGUCGCCGCCUAAGUCCCCUGGAACGGGGCGUCAUAGAGGGUGAGAAUCCCGUCUUUGGUGGGCCGACUGCUCCCGGGUGAAGCUCCUUCGACGAGUCGAGUUGUUUGGGAAUGCAGCUCUAAGCGGGUGGUAAAUUUCAUCUAAAGCUAAAUAUUGGCUGGAGACCGAUAGCGCACAAGUAGAGUGAUCGAAAGACGAAAAGUACUUUGAAAAGAGAGUUAAACAGCACGUGAAAUUGUUGAAAGGGAAGCGCUGGCUGCCAGAUUCGACUUCAGGGGCUCACCGGGCAUGCUUGCCCGGGCACUCCCCUGGAGCCGGGUCAGCAUCGGUUCAGGCGGUCGGUCAAAGGCCCCCGGAAUGUGUCGCCUCUCGGGGCGUCUUAUAGCCGGGGGUGCAAUGCGGCCUGCCCGGACCGAGGAACGCGCUUCGGCACGGAUGCUGGCAUAAUGGCAGUCAGCGGC
rnacentral:rRNA from 1 species